GCUUACGGCCACACCGCCUGGUUCACGCCCGAUCUAGUUUGAUCUCGGGAAGCUAAGAUAGGUUGGGCCUGGUUAGUACUUGGAUGGGAGACCGCCUAGGAAUACCAGGUGCUGUAAGGC
rnacentral:rRNA from 1 species